GGAUUCUGAGAAUUCUUCUUAAAAGGGAGGGGGUAUUGCAAAGGCCCGUGGUGGGUGUUGACAUGAUAUAAUUUCUGCCCAGUGCUCUGAAUGCCAAAGUGAAGAAAUUCAAUGAAAUGCAGGUAAAGGAGUAACUAUGACUCUCUUAAGUAGCUGAAUGCCUUGUCAUCUAAUUAGUGAUGUGUAUGAAUUAAUGAAGUGGAGAUUCUC
rfam:Chlorocebus sabaeus isolate 1994-021 chromosome 9, whole genome shotgun sequence.